rnacentral:rRNA from 1 species
AUACUCCUGACUGACCGAUAGUGAACCAGUACCGUGAGGGAAAGGCGAAAAGAACCCCGGCGAGGGGAGUGAAAAAGAACCUGAAACCGUGUACGUACAAGCAGUGGGAGCACGCUUAGGCGUGUGACUGCGUACCUUUUGUAUAAUGGGUCAGCGACUUAUAUUCUGUAGCAAGGUUAACCGAAUAGGGGAGCCGAAGGGAAACCGAGUCUUAACUGGGCGUUAAGUUGCAGGGUAUAGACCCGAAACCCGGUGAUCUAGCCAUGGGCAGGUUGAAGGUUGGGUAACACUAACUGGAGGACCGAACCGACUAAUGUUGAAAAAUUAGCGGAUGACUUGUGGCUGGGGGUGAAAGGCCAAUCAAACCGGGAGAUAGCUGGUUCUCCCCGAAAGCUAUUUAGGUAGCGCCUCGUGAAUUCAUCUCCGGGGGUAGAGCACUGUUUCGGCAAGGGGGUCAUCCCGACUUACCAACCCGAUGCAAACUGCGAAUACCGGAGAAUGUUAUCACGGGAGACACACGGCGGGUGCUAACGUCCGUCGUGAAGAGGGAAACAACCCAGACCGCCAGCUAAGGUCCCAAAGUCAUGGUUAAGUGGGAAACGAUGUGGGAAGGCCCAGACAGCCAGGAUGUUGGCUUAGAAGCAGCCAUCAUUUAAAGAAAGCGUAAUAGCUCACUGGUCGAGUCGGCCUGCGCGGAAGAUGUAACGGGGCUAAACCAUGCACCGAAGCUGCGGCAGCGACGCUUAUGCGUUGUUGGGUAGGGGAGCGUUCUGUAAGCCUGCGAAGGUGUGCUGUGAGGCAUGCUGGAGGUAUCAGAAGUGCGAAUGCUGACAUAAGUAACGAUAAAGCGGGUGAAAAGCCCGCUCGCCGGAAGACCAAGGGUUCCUGUCCAACGUUAAUCGGGGCAGGGUGAGUCGACCCCUAAGGCGAGGCCGAAAGGCGUAGUCGAUGGGAAACAGGUUAAUAUUCCUGUACUUGG